UUGAAAGAAAUGAAAGCAGUGAAGGCCAAAACUUCGCCAUUGUUUAUAAUUUUUUCUUGUAAUCUCUUUCUUCUCCUGAAAUAAAAUUAAAGAAAAAAAAUGCU
rnacentral:ribozyme from 12 species